UGGGGAAUAUUGGACAAUGGGCGCAAGCCUGAUCCAGCCAUGCCGCGUGAGUGAUGAAGGCCUUAGGGUUGUAAAGCUCUUUUGUCAGGGAAGAUGAUGACGGUACCUGAAGAAUAAGCACCGGCUAACUUCGUGCCAGCAGCCGCGGUAAUACGAAGGGUGCUAGCGUUGUUCGGAAUCACUGGGCGUAAAGCGCGCGUAGGCGGCUUCUCAAGUCAGGGGUGAAAUCCUUGGGCUCAACCCAAGAAUUGCCUUUGAAACUGUGAAGCUAGAGUGUCGGAGGGGAUAGCGGAAUUGCUAAUGUAGAGGUGAAAUUCGUAGAUAUUAGCAGGAACACCGGUGGCGAAGGCGGCUAUCUGGACGACAACUGACGCUGAGGCGCGAAAGUGUGGGGAUCAAACAG
rnacentral:rRNA from 1 species